rnacentral:lncRNA from 1 species
UGGCAUAUGGAGGUUCCCAGGCGAGGGGUCCAAUUGGAGCUACAGCUGCCGGCCUACACCACAGCCACAGCAACAUAGGAUCCGAGCCAUGUCUAUGACGUACACCACGGCUCAUGGCAACACCAGAUCCUUAACCCACUGAGCAAGGCCAGGGAUCAAACCCACAACUUUUAAUGGUUCCUAAGUUGGAUUUGUUUCCAUUAUGCCAUGAUGCGAACUCUUGGGCUCUCUAUUCUGUUCCAUUGGUCUAUGUGUCUGUUUUUGUACCAGUACCACACUGUCUUGAUUACUGUAGCUCUGUAAUAUCUGAAGUCCGGGAGAGUUAUGUCUUCGGUUUUUUAUUUUCCUCAGGAUUGAUUUGGCAAUUUUGGAUUUUUUAUGUUUCCAUAUAAAUUUUUAGAUUGUUCUAGUCAUGAAAAAUGUCUUGGGUAAUUUGAUGGCCUUGUACUGAAUCUGUAGAUUGCUUUGGGUAGUAUGGCCAUUUUAACAAUAUUAAUUCUUCUAAUCUAGGAGCAUGGAAUAUCUUUCCAUUUCUUUGAAUCCUCUUUAAUUUCCUUAAUUAAUGUUUUAUGGUUCUCAGCAUAUAAGUCUUUCACCUCCUUGUUCAGGUUUAUUUUAGGUAUUUAAUUUUUUAGGGGUGAGAUUUUAUUUUUUUAUUAUUAUUAUUUUUUUUGUCUUUUUGCCUUUUCUAGGGGGUCCUAUUGGAGCUGUAGCCUCAGGCCUACGUCACAGCCAUAGCAACACGGGAACCGAGCUACAUCUGCAACCCACACCACAGCUCACAACAACGCCGGAUCCUUAACCCACUGAGCAAGGCCAGGGAUUGAACCUGCAACCUCAUGGUUCCCAGUUAGAUUCGUUAACCACUGAGCCACAAUGGGAACUCCAGGAGUGUGAUUUUAAAAGUUAUUUUUAUGUUUUCUAAUAUUUCAUUGUUAAUAUACAGAAAUGCAACUGAUUUCUGAGUGUUAAUCUUGUAUCCUGCUACUUUGCUGAUUGGGUAGUUUUUAUUUGGAGUCCUUAGAGUUUUCUAUAUAUAAUAUCAUGCCAUCUGCAUAUAGUGACAUUUUUACCUCUUUUCUAAUUUGGAUACCUUUUUUUCUUUUAAAUUUAAAUCUGAUUGUUGUGGCUAGGACUUCUAAUAUGAUGAGGAUGUUGAAUAGAAGUAGUGUGUGUGGGCAUCUUUGUCUUGUUCCAGAUUUUAGCAGGAAGGCUUUUAGCUUUUCUCUGUUGAGUAUUUUAUUGGCUGUGGGUUUGUCAUAAACAGCUUUUAUUAUGUUAAGAUAUGUUCACUCUAUACCCACUUUGGUAAAAGUUUUUAUCAUGAAAGGAUGCUGGAUUUUAUCAAAUGCUUUUUCUGUAUCCAUUGAUUAAUCAUGUGGUUUUCGACUUUUCUUCUUUGUUGAAGUGGUAUGUUGCAUUGUUGAUUUGUGAUGUUGAACCAUCCUUGUGAACUUUUGAUGAAGCCCACUUGGUCACUGUGUAUGACCUUUUUUGUGUGCUGUUGGAUUCUGUUUGCUAGAUUUUUUUUUUUUCCUUCACUUUUUAGGGUUGCGCCUGUGGCAUAUGGAUGUUUCCUGGCUAGGGACUGAAUCGGAGCUGCAGCUGCUGGCCUACAGCAACGCCAGAUCUGAGCCACAUCUGUGACCUACACCAUAGCUAACAGCAACACCUGAUCUUUAACUUACUGAGUGAGGCCAGGGAUUGAACACUCUUAGUCAGGUUCAUUACCGCUGAGGCACAAUGGGAAUUCUGUUUGCUGAAGUUUUCUUGAGAAUUUUUGCGUCUGUGUUUAUCAAAGACAUUGGCUUGUAAUUUUCUUUUUUGGUAGUAUCUUUGUCUGGUUUUGGUAUUAGGGUGAUGGCGGCUUCAUAGAAUGUUUUUGGGAAUGUUCCUUCUUCAGUCUUUUGGACAGGUUUAAUAAGGAGGAUUGGUGUAAGUUGUUUGUGUGUUUGGUAGAAUUGCCUGUGAAGCCAUCUGGUCCUUGACUUUUGUUUGUAGGAGUUUUUUAAACUGCAUAUUCAAUUUCAUCUCCAGUGAUUGGUCUGUUCAAAUGAUGUAUUUCUUCUUGAGUCAGUUUUGGAGGGCUGUAUGUUUCUAGAAAGUUGUCCAUUUCCAGAUUCAAUUUUUUGAGGAACCUCUAUACUGUUCUCCUUAGUGGUUGCACCAGCUUACAUUUCCACCAGCAGUGCGUGAGUGUUCCCCUGUCCUCACAUCCUCACUAACACAUUAUUUGUUGUCAAAAAUUUGAUGACAGCCAUUCUGACAAAUGGGAGGUGGUAUCUCAUUGUCGUUUUGAUUUGCAUUUCUUCAAAGAUUAAUGAUGUUGAGCAUCUUUUCAUGUGUCCAUUAGUCAUCUGUAUGUCCUUUUUGGGAAAACGUCUAUUCUGGUGUUCUGCCCACUUAAAAGUUUGAAUUGUUUGGGUUUUUUGGUAUUGGGUUAUAUAGGUUCUUUCUAUAUUUUGGAUAUUAAUUCCUUAAUGGAUAUAUCAUUUGCAAAUAUCUUCUCCCAAUUCAUUAGGUUGCCUUUUUGUCUUGAUGGUGUUUUUCACUGUGCAAAAGCAUUUACAUUUGAUGUAGUACCAUUUGUUUAUUUUUCUAUGUAUAGUAUCAUGUCAUCUGCAAACACUUUUCUUUCUUUUCCAAUUUGGAUUCCUUUUCUUUACUUUUUUUUCUCUAGUUGCCAUGGCUAGGACUUCCAAAACUAAGUUGAAUAAAAGUGAGAGUGGAUCCUUAUCUUGUUCCUCAUCUUAGUGGAAAUUCUUUCAGCUUUUCAGCAUUGAGAAUGAUGUUAGCUGUAGGUUUGUCAUAUAUGGCCUAUUUUUUAUUUUUAUUUUAUUAUUUAUUAUUAUUAUUGUUUAUUUUUUUGUCUUUUUGCCAUUUCUUGGGCCGCUCCCGUGGCAUAUGGAGGUUCCCAGACUAGGGGUCCAAUCAGAGCUGUAGCCGCUGGCCUACGCCAGAGCCACAGCAAUGCAGGAUCCGAGCCGCGUCUGCAACCUACACCACAGCUCAUGGCAACGCCAGGUCCUUAACCCACUGAGCAAGGGCAGGGAUCGAACCCGCAACCUCAUGGUUCCUAGUCAGAUUCGUUAACCACUGAGUCACCACGGGAACUCCUGGCCUAUUUUUUAUAUU